rnacentral:lncRNA from 1 species
AAGAACUGAGUAGAAUGUUCUGAUCAAAGCUAAUCUGGACUGGANUGCUGGAAUCUGGUCUGGUUUGAUAUAGCUUUAUCUGGUUUGGGCUGGUCUAAUUUGGUCUAGGUCUAGCCUAUAUUCAUUUAAGCUGGCCUGGGCUUGUCUAUUCUGGUCUAACUUCUGAGCUGGUCUAAGUUUUACUGGGCUGGUAUAGUCUGGUUUGGUCUAACCUGGCCCAGUUUGGUCUAUUCUUGUGUUGUCUAAGCUAGUCUAGUCUGGCCUACAGUAGUGUGAUCUACCCUGAUCUAAUCUAGUCUAAACUAUUCUGGUGUAGUUGGUUUGGUCUGGAUUGGUUAAGUUAGUCUGGUCUGGCUUGUGCUGGUAUGUCCUAGCCUGGUCUGGAUUAGUUAAAUCUAACCUGUUCUGUUCUGUUCUGGUGUAUAGUAGUCUGUUUUGGGUUGGUUUAUUCUUCUUUGGUCUGGUCUGUGCUGAUAGAGUCUAGCUGGGUCUGGUCUGAUAUGAGCUGGUCUUGGCUGGUUAAUUCUGGUGAGUUCCAGCCUUGUCUGGAUUGGUCUAAACUGGGCUUAUACGCUCUAUUCUGGUGUUUUUCAUCUAAUCUGAGCGGUUCUGUUCUGGUAUGAUCUAGUCUGGACUGGCACAAGCCGUUCAUUUUUCACUAAUUGUUUUCUCUAAGAGCAGCUGCUGAGCAAGGGACUGGAUCUCAGAAGAACUAGACGUUCUACUAGCAAAAAAAGGUUCCAUUUGACAGGGCUGAAGAUGAGGUGCCAUGAAGAUAUCAAAGACAGUGGNNNNNNNNNNNNNNNNNNNNNNNNNNNNNNNNNNNNNNNNNNNNNNNNNNNNNNNNNNNNNNNNNNNGAGUUUCUGCUGUGAGUCACUGAGCCAUGGUAACUGGGUGUCCCACAUCUGCUCUGACAGUCCUCUCAGCUCCCGGGUCAUGGAUGAGAUGACUGAUCAUCAGCAACUGCAGAGCACAGGGAACACCACCCGUGCAAGAAAACUCCGGAUCCUGAGUUCAGGCCGCAUGCUUCAUUCCUGACCAAGAGAAUGCUGGGUACUGAGCAGUGACAGGUGUCCAUCCAGAGGCCCCUAGGUGCCUUCCUGAUUUUUUUUUUCCUGGUGCAUGCCUCUCUGGCUCAGGUGGGAGGAGAGGAGAGACNGACUUGAACCUGUCAGGAGAAGACAAGGACCAUGGUGGAUGUUUGAAGUUCCAGGUUGGACGACUGAGAAGCUGGGGAGACAGAUUCUACAGGGCUGAUCCAGCUGAAAAUGAGACUCACAAUUUGAUCACACGGGUGCACAGUGACAACGUCGAUUGAAUUUGCAGCUCUGACAGAUGUGUUUUAUAAAGGCCGGGGCACUGAUCAGAGAGGAGCAGGAUGCCAGGGCAUGUUAUUGAACUUGGAUGAGUCUGAAAAACAGCUGCUUCUUGCUGUCUGGAGUGAUGAGUCUCUCCUUUCCUGAGAAGCCCGUGAGGAGUUCACAGGAGCAACUUCCCCAGGAGAACAUGGAGUCUCGUCUGCUGAGCUGCCAGCAGAAGCCUCUUCCUGUGCCCCAGGAUACUUGUCUCAGAGGAGAUCGUUAUGGUACCAUGGGAAUUUUCCUAUGACCCAUUGAUAGAGCAAGAAAAAAACACACCCCC